rnacentral:rRNA from 1 species
GAUCAUGGCUCAGGAUGAACGCUAGCUACAGGCUUAACACAUGCAAGUCGAGGGGCAGCAUGGUCUUAGCUUGCUAAGGCCGAUGGUCGACCGGCGCACGGGUGAGUAACGCGUAUCCAACCUGCCUUACACGUCUUGGACAGCCUUCUGAAAAGGGAGAUUAAUACAAGAUGUUAUCAUGAGUAAGGACAUUUUCACAGUGAUUAAAGGUUUACCGGUGUAAGAUGGGGAUGCGUU